UACGUAGGGGGCAAGCGUUGUCCGGAAUCAUUGGGCGUAAAGCGCGUGUAGGCGGCCAGAAAAGUCCGCUGUGAAAACUCGAGGCUCAACUUCGAGCUGUCGGUGGAAACUUUCUGGCUAGAGUCCGGAAGAGGAGAAUGGAAUUCCUGGUGUAGCGGCGAAAUGCGCAGAUAUCAGGAAGAACACCCGUGGCGAAGGCGGUUCUCUGGGACGGUACUGACGCUGAGACGCGAAAGCGUGGGGAGCGAACAGG
rnacentral:rRNA from 1 species